CGCAGCCAGCUGCGAGAUUUGGUGUGAAUUGCAGGACACAUUGAGCACUGAUUUUUCGAACGCACAUUGCGGCCUCGGGUCCUACCCGGGGCCUCGCCUGUCUGAGGGUCGGAUAAGACUUACCUAGGAAGCUCUCGAGCUUUCAAUUGGCCGCACCGGACUUAACAAUCCGCCGGCUCAAGGACUUCGUAAACGGAAUCCUCACCGGUCGUAGAAGCGUCGCCGCAGUGCACGCUCGUCGGCGGGAGAAGACGAGUAUUUUCUCCGCCUUGACGAGCCUCGGCUCGACGACAGAGACGACGCGGUGGUUCCGCCUUCUCUCCUCGAGAAGAAGAACAUUUUUAACUUGUCGACCUCAGAUCAGACGAGAUGACCCGCUGAAUUUAAGCAUAUC
rnacentral:rRNA from 1 species